rnacentral:tRNA from 1 species
GGGGAUGUAGCUCAGUGGGAGAGCGCCACAUUCGCAUUGUGGAAGCCGAGGGUUCGAAUCCCUUCAUCUCCACCA